GUGCCAGCCGCCGCGGUAAUUCCAGCUCCAAUAGCGUAUAUUAAAGUUGUUGUGGUUAAAAAGCUCGUAGUUGAACCUUGGGCCUGGCUGGCCGGUCCGCCUCACCGCGUGCACUGGUCCGGCCGGGCCUUUCCCUCUGUGGAACCCCAUACCCUUCACUGGGCGUGGCGGGGAAACAGGACAUUUACUUUGAAAAAAUUAGAGUGCUCCAGGCAGGCCUAUGCUCGAAUACAUUAGCAUGGAAUAAUAAAAUAGGACGCGCGGUUCUAUUUUGUUGGUUUAUAGGACCGCCGUAAUGAUUAAUAGGGACAGUCGGGGGCAUCAGUAUUCAACUGUCAGAGGUGAAAUUCUUGGAUCAGUUGAAGACUAACUACUGCGAAAGCAUUUGCCAAGGAUGUUUUCAUUAAUCAGGAACGAAAGUUAGGGGAUCGAAGACGAUCAGAUACCGUCGUAGUCUUAACCAUAAACUAUGCCGACUAGGGAUCGGACGGUGUUAUUCAUGACCCGUUCGGCACCUUACGAGAAAUCAAAGUGCUUGGGCUCCAGGGGGAGUAUGGGUCGCAAGGCUGAAACUUAAAGAAAUUGACGGAAGGGCACCACCAGGGGUGGAGCCUGCGACUUAAUUUGACUCAACACGGGGAAACUCACCAGGUCCAGACACAAUAAGGAUUGACAGAUUGAGAGCUCUUUCUUGAUUUUGUGGGUGGUGGUGCAUGGCCGUUCUUGGGUGGUGGGGUGACUUGUCUGCUUAUUGCGAUACGAACGAGACCUUAAACCUGCUAAAUAGCCCGCAUUGCUCCGGCAGUGCGGCUGGCAUCAUA
rnacentral:rRNA from 1 species